UACAAACGCUGGCGGCAUGCCUAACACAUGCAAGUCGAACGAGAAUCGGUGGAUAGAGACUUCGGUCAAUUGAAAUCGAGGACAGUGGCGGACGGGUGAGUAAUGCAUGAGCAACCUGCCUUGGAGUGGGGGAUAACGCAUCGAAAGAUGUGCUAAUACCGCGUAAGACCACGGCACCGCAUGGUGCAGGGGUCAAAGGAGCAAUCCGGUUUAAGAUGGGCUCGCGUCCGAUUAGCUAGUUGGUGAGAUAAACAGCCCACCAAGGGCAACGAUCGGUAGCCGACCUGAGAGGGUGAACGGCCACAUUGGGACUGAGAUACGGCCCA
rnacentral:rRNA from 1 species